ACAGUUUGGAACAUUUUGGCUACAGUCAAGUGUUGUGUCUGUUCCUUACAGUUUACUAUUUGGUAUGUCUUCUAUCUGAGGACACUAUAGCAAAUAGAUUUUUGGGUCUGGGAGAUGGAACAGGCUUACUCCUUCCAUUCCAUGCAUUGACCUAGUGCUGCAGUAUUUGCAUGAUCAUUGUAUCAAAA